rnacentral:rRNA from 1 species
UACGGAGGAUGCGAGCGUUAUCCGGAUUUAUUGGGUUUAAAGGGUGCGUAGGCGGACGCUUAAGUCAGCGGUAAAAUUGCGGGGCUCAACCUUGUCGAGCCGUUGAAACUGGGUGUCUUGAGUGGGCGAGAAGUACGCGGAAUGCGUGGUGUAGCGGUGAAAUGCAUAGAUAUCACGUAGAACUCCGAUUGCGAAGGCAGCGUACCGGCGCCCAACUGACGCUGAAGCACGAAGGCGUGGGUAUCGAACAGG